CAUGCGUACAAAGCUGCUGUUUGUUCUUCUCUUUGAAAGAGCUGAAGAUUUAUCUUGAGGAAUCCUUGAUUGACUGGGAAAACUUCCAAAAUGUUUUGCAAGAGCAACUCGAGAUUUGGUAUAAUGCAUCAAAGGGAAUGAAGGGCAGCUAUGGAUCCCCAUCCCUUUCGGUAACUGAGUACAAUACCACCACUACAGAAGAACACGUUGACUACUUCUGAAGCUUGUAGGACGUGAAGUUUGCCGGGCUCUCAGCACGGAAGGAAGCCUGAGGGACCUCUUACAGCAACUGUCAACUUGAAGCUUUAAAAGAGCAGCUGGCAGUCCAUGAGCUUCUUAUGGCAGUUUUACUUGGUAUUUCAAAGGUUUGGUUGUUCUGAAUCAAGUCAUCGCUGCUAAUUUUCAGAACUGUUUAAUAGCUGAAGGUAACAACUGUGUUACGCAAAUCAAUUGGACUUGGACACCUUGGGGCUGUUGAAAAACUUACUGAAGUAAUAUUUGUGUCUUUGGUACGUGUUCUAGAGCUGCUUCUGCAUUGCCAAGUUCCUCCUGAGAUGAGGCAGUGUGCCACCUCAGUGUGUGUGACGGCAGAGGAGUUUCUCAUGAACUGGAGUUGCCCUUGGCCCCAGGUAAAGCUUUUUAGAGGGAGUUGUACACUAUAUGUAGGAUUUAUGUCACCUAACCUGUGCCUGAGAACAUUAGAUCUAAUUGGGUUCUGGAAGCUUGGCUGCAGAUCUAAACAUAUAUCAAUUGCUCUGUUACGUGGACGUCUCUCUGCAUCCUGCUUUUCUGGGAGAUUCACAAAGCAAAGCAGCUGCUGACUUGAAGAGGAAACUCUGUAGCUGGUUGAUGUUUGUUCCUUCUCCUCUCUCUUGUAUGGGAAAUCUUCUAGGAUGAUUUUUUUUCUGCUGCGAUCUUGCCGGUGUCUGUAAAAGGAAACUAGGAGGGAAGCUGCCUUACCCAAAGAGCUGCAACAGGUCGAGCACACAGCCAGGAUUUCCAGUCCACUGAACCACGCUGCAUAGCAGGGCUCCACUAUGAGCAUGUUGCAUAAAGUGGCACAGAUAAUAGCUGCAGUUUACAGAAGAAAGCAAUUAUAUUGUAAACAAGUAUUUUGGGGAGGAAAUCUAUUCUAAAGACAAGAAUGUUCUCCCUUUUUGCCAGUAAGAAAUAUUUUACAGACUCUACUACUGAAUUUACUGUACAUCCAGUUUCUUGUUGGAGCGCUUCAUCCCAAAUGUGGGCAUCCUAUAGGCAUUUGGAGUUCCUGCCAUGGAAAUAGUAGUGAUCAAAAGUGGAAGAAAGCAGUAAUCAUGUCCAAGUUACUGUAGCAGCUACAAGACUGUAGAAGAGGAAGAAAUAAGCACAAAUGAGGGGAAAAUUAUGUGUCUUUGUGUAAAUAAAGUGUCAAAUAUCACUGGGUCACUUGAUCCUGAAAAAUGCUCAGAAUCUACCCUCAGCCUCUGGUUUUAAUUAAAUUCUUCAUUUGUUCAUUCUUCAUGUCAAUCUCUGCUGUCCAUAUGCUGGUUCUGGAGCUGAUUCAGCACCAGCAGAACUUAGAGGUAAGUGAGGGUGACAUAAUGAAGAAAUCUGAAUAGAAAUUUGCCAGUAUCAUUUUUUUAAUUAGAAAAAUGUUGAUUUGGCACAAUUGGACUUUGUACAGAAAGUAUGUAGGUUUAGAUAAAAUUUUCCCCACCUACUGAUCAAUUAUUAAGGCAGUGAUUAAGGCUUCCACAUCUAGCCGUGUCUAGGUUCAAGGUCUGGCUUCUCCACAUUUAUUUACACAUAAUAGAAGAAUUUUGAGAGGAAAUUUUGGAAGCUGAUGACCUCAACACAGUCACCAUCCUGGUAAUGAAGGUAGGGACUCUGGCGUGUGGGCAAAUGGCAAAGCAGGAACCUGAAGCUAGUGUGUCAUACCCUUACUGGUGUCCCAACCAUCUACUGUGUGAGGAAAGGCACUUCAUGGUGUCUAUGAAAAGCUGGAAAGAUCUUGGUUUCACUCCAGGUGAGUGGGAACAUUUUUGAAAUGUCAAACUUCUGCACGAUAAGAAAACCCUUCACAACGAGAAUGUGUGGAAUCAAUGACUUGGGCCAGGCCUAUAGGGAAAAUGAAGAAUAAAGAUAUGAGAUACAGCAGUGUUUUCUAGAAAAAUCUUAGUUACAAGAGAGGUACGUUUACAUCUGGGGUUUGAGGUUUUGUUCUAGUUUUUGUGCUUUAGUUUGUUUUAUAUUCUGGUUCUCACAUCUUUAGAAGAUUGAUAUAAGGUAGAGUAGAACAGGGUUAGAAUGGAAUGCCUCAGCAGAAAAGUGUAAUUGUGGUUAUUUCUCCUUUCCCAGUCUUUAAAAUGGAUAAAAUAUAUUACUAUAAUCGAAAUCUAAUAGAACUCUCUGCUUAGGUUAAUUUCUCUCCCAUGAUGCUUGGCACUCAAUUUCUUACUGUUCCUACCACCCUUCUGAGAACUUGUGUGAGGAAAACUGAACUCUGGUUGAUCCCGUGUUCUUUGGGGAGGCAGCACAAGAUCGUGUAUCUUUAAUGACACUACAGUCCUGUGAUGAAAAUUCCUUUUUAUUUUUCCAUUUCACAAUGGGCAUUUUAUUUUUACUGGCAUAGAAUAUGUGCUGUAGAAUAAAUAUGCCUUGUAGUUUUUCCAAACUGAAAUCCCUUAAAAUUGGCAUGCAGAUAAAUAACACAUGCUCAAGGUGCCCAUUAGUUAUUUCUACAAUUAGUGGAAAAAUGCCACAGCUCAUUCUAAAGAGUUAUUAGGGGCAUUUCUGUAGGAAUGCAAU